GGUUCCAUAGCUUAACUGAAUAGAGCAUCUGACUACGGAUCAGAAGGUUGGGGGUUUGAAUCCCUCUGGGACCA
rnacentral:tRNA from 1 species